AUAAUUAUACAUGGUCUGUAUGAGUUUUGGGUCUGUUUUGUUUAAUGCUACUAAUUUGUUAUUUCCCUUCAAAGGAUUGGUUUGCCCAAUAAGUUUUUCUGGGUUAUAGUCUGGUGAUUGUAUGUUCUUGUUUAGAUAGUUGGCAACUUGUAUGAAUUGGUUCAGGCAGUUGUUUAUUUUUUGCACGAAUUGAUUUUGUGUAGGUUUUUUGGUGAUUUUACUUUAAGUAUUUGUCUGGGGUUUUGGUAAUUGGUAAAUAAAAUCUGUUCUUUUAGGUAUGGGUUGC
rnacentral:lncRNA from 1 species